AUUGAACGCUGGCGGCAUGCCUUACACAUGCAAGUCGAACGGCAGCACGGACUUCGGUCUGGUGGCGAGUGGCGAACGGGUGAGUAAUGUAUCGGAACGUACCUUUCAGUGGGGGAUAACGUAGCGAAAGUUACGCUAAUACCGCAUAUUCUGUGAGCAGGAAAGCAGGGGAUCGCAAGACCUUGCGCUGAUUGAGCGGCCGAUAUCAGAUUAGCUAGUUGGUGGGGUAAAGGCCUACCAAGGCGACGAUCUGUAGCGGGUCUGAGAGGAUGAUCCGCCACACUGGAACUGAGACACGGUCCAGACUCCUACGGGAGGCAGCAGUGGGGAAUUUUGGACAAUGGGGGCAACCCUGAUCCAGCCAUGCCGCGUGAGUGAAGAAGGCCUUCGGGUUGGUUAAAGACUCUUUCGGUCCCGGGGAAGGAAAGUACGCACAGGCUAAUACCCUGUGUGGAUGACGGU
rnacentral:rRNA from 1 species